CAUUUUCCACGGGUCCAAGCAAAUCAGAAAUUUCAGCACACUUUGCACUCUUUUCUCUUAAGGGAAGAGCUAGGAAGCUCCCUUGAGUCUUUUUCUUGAGUCCACAUGUUCACACACACCAAAAGAAAGAUAAAUCUCCAUCUUAUCUCUUAUUUGACUCUUUCAAAGCAACUACAACAAUCAAGAACUCUCUCCCUCUUUCAUUCUCACGGGUCCCACACCAAAAGAAGGAAAAGCUCUCAACUCUUUUCUUCCUUUCACACCUAUGAGUCCAGCAGCAAGGAAAGAUGUUUCUUUCAAUUCUUCUCAAGAUUUUGUACCCAACUUGAAGCUAAAGUGAUUCUAGCUCUAUCACUCCAAGAAUCCAUGUCUAGGGUGUUACCAGUUCUCCAAGUUUAAGCUCCUUCGACUAUAGGCUCUCGGUUCCUCUGCUUUCAAUCAACAGGUUUUAUUUUUGGAGCAGAGGGAGCCUUAGUCGAGUUUAGAAGGAGCUGGUUUUAGUUUUAUAUGUAUAGAUCCUAAAUUAGCAAUUUGAUGUUUAGAUUUGUAAUAUGGUGUAUUUUAGGAUAUAAUGAAAGUGUAUACCUUAAAGUAAAUAAGAGAUGUAUUAUGUGAAAUUUAGAAUUUGAAUAAUCGGUGGAUUGUGUUA